rnacentral:lncRNA from 1 species
CUGCUUUAUUCAGCAUUACAUCACCAGAUGCUAGGAACAUAUCUGGAGUAGAGUGGACUUUUGUGGUCUCUCAUAAACAAGGAGGACAGUUUAACAGAAUUCAAAAUAACCUAAAGAGUACAAACCAAGGAAAAUUCUUUAUGACUACCAAGUAACAAUAUGAAGAAUGAAACCGCUCAUGCUGGGUUGCCUACAGAUGGAAGUAGAGAGAAUAACUUAAACUAAAUACAGAUAAUCCCCCUUUAAAUGACACGUGGCUGAUAGACGGCUAAUGCAGCCUUCUCCCUAUGGACAAAAAAACACAGAAAAAGACAAAAACUAACAGGUAAGUAAAACAGACUCAACCUUGGGCUAGAAUCUGGGAGUAAUUGACAUACUUAAAAUAUAAACAGAAGUAGUCUGAGAGGGGGAAAAAAAGAAAGGAAGAAAUUUACCUGGAUUCAGUCCUUGACCAAAAUCAAGAAAUUGAAAAAAAAAUUCAGGAAGAUGCUGUGUAUAUUCCCCAACUGAACAGCACAUUUCAGGUGCCAUUUGCAUAGGAGGCACCACAAUACAUACAUUCUGGAAAGUACAGCUACUCCAAAUGAGCACUAAAAGGGGACAGACAUGAAAAUCCCACUGCAGCACCCUGGUAAUUAUCG